rnacentral:tRNA from 2 species
UUAAUAGAAGCCAAACAAUAGGCUAUUCACUGUUAAUGAAUAAUUUGAAUUUAUUGAAUUUCCUAUUAAG